UACGUAGGGUGCGAGCGUUAAUCGGAAUUACUGGGCGUAAAGCGUGCGCAGGCGGUUCGUUGUGUCGGUGGUGAAAGCCCCGGGCUCAACCUGGGAAUGGCAUUGGAAACUGGCUAGCUGGAGUGUGGCAGAGGGGGGUGGAAUUCCACGUGUAGCAGUGAAAUGCGUAGAGAUGUGGAGGAAUACCGAUGGCGAAGGCAGCCCCCUGGGAUAACACUGACGCUCAUGCACGAAAGCGUGGGGAGCAAACAGG
rnacentral:rRNA from 1 species